GACGAACGCUGGCGGCGUGCUUAACACAUGCAAGUCGAACGGAAAGGCCCUGCUUUUGUGGGGUGCUCGAGUGGCGAACGGGUGAGUAACACGUGAGUAACCUGCCCUUGACUUUGGGAUAACUUCAGGAAACUGGGGCUAAUACCGGAUAGGAGCUCCUGCUGCAUGGUGGGGGUUGGAAAGUUUCGGCGGUUGGGGAUGGACUCGCGGCUUAUCAGCUUGUUGGUGGGGUAGUGGCUUACCAAGGCUUUGACGGGUAGCCGGCCUGAGAGGGUGACCGGCCACAUUGGGACUGAGAUACGGCCCAGACUCCUACGGGAGGCAGCAGUGGGGAAUAUUGCACAAUGGGCGGAAGCCUGAUGCAGCAAUGCCGCGUGCGGGAUGACGGCCUUCGGGUUGUAAACCGCUUUCGCCUGUGACGAAGCGUGAGUGACGGUAAUGAGUAAAGAAGCACCGGCUAACUACGUG
rnacentral:rRNA from 1 species